UAGACUGAUUAUGUACUGCAUCUGUACAAUAAAGUGAACUGCCAUAGACUGAUUAUGUACUGCAUCUAUACAAUAAAGUGAACUGCCACAGCACCCUACCAUAGUCACUUGAAUAAAAAAUAAAAAAAAAAACUUUAUUUAUUUAAAUAUAUAUUAUGAUAUUUUGAGUAGCGAUAGAGUUACUUAGUUAAAAACAUGUUAUGAUAAUAUGAACAGCGAUAGAGUUACUUAGUUGAUAAACCAUCCACUUAAUAGCGAGCGCAGCAAGCCAGCGCAAAACACUGGCUCGUACUGCGAGCUCUAAUGAGUAUAGCACGGGAAAUAAUCCGAGCUAAAUUUAAACCUCUAACAAGGAAUAUUUUUUCCCGCCAAUCCCAGAAGUCCCUUGUCAAAAAUGGUUCAGAUCUCGCAAAGUCACACCUUGGAAUAUGAUUGUGAACUUACGUACGUGGAUUAUCAUUCUAAUCUUGGGGCCUCCUAGCUCCAAAAUUCAGUGCACCAUUGACGUCAUGUCUACGUUUUGACGUACAUCAUAAUAAGACUGACAGUAGUGGAUCGAAAUGCGUACUUGUAAUUUCCAUUUGUAAAAUUCAUACUACCGGGACAAUAUUGAAUAUACGUAAACAUUAGGCAUACGUAAUAUGGCAUCGAAUACAAAUUGUGUAUAAUCGACUGCAAAUCACAAAUCUGAUUAAAAUACUAAACUCUCUAUAGGAAUUUAUUAUUCUAUGUAUGAGAGAACACAGGUACUGAAUUAGUGCUAUUUAAAAAAAAUUACAAAAAAUCUAUGGAAUUCAGUCGGAUUGAAAACAUUUUUUAACAAUCAUUGGGUUUUUUUUUUGGUGUUUUUUUUGGUUUUGUUUUUUGUGACUAAAAACAAUGAGUGCUUGAAUCCUUUUUAACAUGUCCAGUAAUACAAACGAUUACCCCCCCCCCCCCCCCCCCCCCCCCCCCCCCCCCUCAUGAUAACCAACUAUGCCACUUGCUAUUAACUGCUGAAAAAUCAUUAAUUAAUUCUAGUUUUGUGAAUUAAUCUUAAUUAAUGAUCCUCAUAACAACAGCGGAGAGGAGCUUAAAUCAAUGAUGUUGCAAUUUUAUUCAACGAUUAUAUGUGAAUGCUGAAAUAUUUCAUCAUUGUAUUACAAUAUUAAAAAAAAUUGUUCUAAUUUUCUCUUUUGGAACAUACCAUUGCUACAAGAUGGUUAUCAUACUUCAUUUCUUAAAAAUUAGAUAGGUGCGCAUGGUAGGUGGGUGGGUAUAUACAUGCCCAAUAGUUGAAUUUAUCGAUUUAUUUUAAAAUUAUCAUUAUACAGUCUAUGCGAAAGACAUCGGACCGUCGGACCUGAUCGAUGUGCAGUGCCUCAGGUCUGACGCAUCAUUUUUUACACCGGACCGGAAUGUCCAAUGUCUCAGUGUCCGGUUUUGAGCUUUACUAUUUUGAUGCGGAGUCAUUUAAAUGUUUGUUAUAAGUAAAAAAUAGCACACAAAUCCAAAUACGUAAAUGAAUGUGAUUAAAACCGCAUGGACUGUCUAGAGUAUUAAGUCUCAAUAUACCUGGCAAAUUGCCAAUACGAAGCUAAAGUGACCAGGGUUAAAAUGUAAAUAUGUUAAAAGAGUAUUUUAUAGAAUUUAAAUAGUUUCAUUGUUAUUGAUAUCUGUAUUAAUAUAGGGAGGUGACCAUUCUACAUUGAUUCAGUGCCUUUUUAUGGGAUUCGAAACUGUGACUGUGAGAUGUAUGAGAGUUUGACUUCUAGGCGGGCAAUUCUACUUUCACUUUAAACGGAUGGCAGGUGCCUGAGUGUAUCUCGACCCAUUUCCAGGCUAGCAUCAGAUGUCAUGAUGGACCUUUAAAAUCUUUCACAUGUGUGCUUUCAAGAACCAUAUACAUUAUUUUUGAAAAUUGGUUGCCAUGGUAAUAAAAUCUGAAAAUUAAAACAUGGGCUUCUGAAGGCGAAUUUUCCUCCAUUCCCUGGUAGUUUGUGACCUUAUACGGGAGGGAUCCCUGGUAUAGUAUUACUAGUAUAAUAAAUAAGAUUCCCUUGGUUUUGCAUUUUCACGUGUUUCACUUUUUUACAUUAGGUUUUUCGGUCUGACAAAAUUUGGUUCGGUCCGGUGUGUUCAUUGAUUACACAGGACCGAAUGUCCUGUGUGGUCCAAAAAACUUUCGCAUAGACUGCAUUAUAUUGAAAUGCAUUUUAUGUUCAAAGGCGGUGCUGUUUAAACUUCAAACUUGAAAGGUUUGGGCAUUUUUAUCAUACAAUAUUAGUAACUUGAAAA